rnacentral:rRNA from 1 species
CCUACGGGGGGCAGCAGUGAGGAAUAUUGGUCAAUGGACGAGAGUCUGAACCAGCCAAGUAGCGUGAAGGAUGACUGCCCUAUGGGUUGUAAACUUCUUUUAUAUGGGAAUAAAAUGUUCCACGUGUGGGAUUUUGUAUGUACCAUAUGAAUAAGGAUCGGCUAACUCCGUGCCAGCAGCCGCGGUAAUACGGAGGAUCCGAGCGUUAUCCGGAUUUAUUGGGUUUAAAGGGAGCGUAGGUGGAUUGUUAAGUCAGUUGUGAAAGUUUGCGGCUCAACCGUAAAAUUGCAGUUGAAACUGGCAGUCUUGAGUACAGUAGAGGUGGGCGGAAUUCGUGGUGUAGCGGUGAAAUGCUUAGAUAUCACGAAGAACUCCGAUUGCGAAGGCAGUUCACUGGACCGCAACUGACACUGAGGCUCGAAAGUGUGGGUAUCAAACAGGAUUAGAUACCCGAGUAGUC